AUGUUACAGCCUUAUUCCAAAAUGGAUUAAAUUAAUUUUUUCCCUCAAAAUUCUACGCAAAAUACACCAUAAGGACAACUUGAAAAACGUUUUUGUGAGAUUUUUGCAAAUUUAUUAAAAAUCAAAAACUAAGAAAUCAUAUAGUAUUCACAGCCUUUGCCAUGAAGCUCAAAAUUGAGCUCAGGUGCAUCCUGUUUCCACUGAUCAUCCUUGAGAUGUCUCUACAGCCUAACUGGAGUCCAUCUGUGGUAAAUUCAGUUGAUUGGACAUGAUUUGGAAAGGCAGACACCUGUCUAUAUAAGGUUCCACAGCUGAUAGUGCAC